rnacentral:rRNA from 1 species
AUAUUAGAAGUUAUGUUCUUUAAAUUCAAAAAAUUUGGCGGUGUUUUAGUCUAGUUAGAGGAACCUGUUUUAUAAACGAUACGACACGCAUUAUCUUACUUGUUUUAGUAAUUCAGCUUGUAUACCGUCAUUAUAAGAUAAUUUAGUAUAAAAUAUUGUUAAAAUCGUAUUUUUGAGUAUAUUAGAUCAAGGUGCAGCUUAUGAAUAAGUAAAUAUGGGUUACAAUAAAAUUUAUUUAAUAUGAAUUAAGUAUUUAAAUAUAUUUAUGAAGGAGGAUUUAAUUGUAAGAAAAUAAAUAAUAAGACUUUCUGAUAGAAGCUCUAAAUUAU